GUCUGAAGCAGCUUGCAUGUUGGUUGUAGACUGUACACGCCCUCUGCAGAGAAAAGUCUCGUGUUGAAUUUUGUGAUGGAACUUCAUAAUGAUUAACCACUAAUUUUUAGAAGACAUGUAACUCAACAGAGGAAGGCAAUAUAUAAGAAGAACUCUGGGAAACAGGAGAGACAGCUAAAACUUCUAAUUGACAACAUGCUAAAGGCAUUACUAUAAAACCUAGCUUACACUGCCAAACUUUUUGAAAAGUUAUACAUUCAAGUAAACUAGUUUAUGCAGUCUAACAUUAGUUUGAACUUAUUUGAUACGGUUGAUAUUUGUUUCAUGGCACUGAUAAUAUAUUGAAAACAUUUCUAUUGUUAUAUAGCUGGCUAUAAAAGGUAGUUAAACAUAAAGUUCACCGGCAUCAGAAUUAUCACUACAAAAUCUUAGUUUGUCGCCCUCAUGAAGUGGUCCGAGACACAAUUGAACAUUUAAGUAAUUC